rnacentral:rRNA from 1 species
AAGUUCUUUAAACCUAAAGAAUUUGGCGGUGUUUUAGUCUGGUUAGAGGAACUUGUCCUUUAAUCGAUAAUCCUCGUUUUAUCUGGCUUAGUUUAUAUUUAUUGGUAUGUAUACCUCCGUUAUAGGUUUAUUUUUAUAGAAUAAAUUUACUUAAUAAUUAAUUUAUUAACAUUUCAGGUCAAGGUGCAGCUUAUAGCUAAGGGGAGAUGGGUUACAUUAUAUUAAUAAACGGAUUUUUGGUUGAAAUAUUUUAUUGAAGGUGGAUUUAAUAGUAAUUUAAUUUAUAGGGGUUAUUUGAAGCUAGCUCUAAGAUGAGUACACAUCGCCCGUCGCUCU